GACGAACGCUGGCGGCGUGCUUAACACAUGCCAGUCGAACGGAAAGGCCCUGCUUUUGUUGGGUGCUCGAGUGGCGAACGGGUGAGUAACACGUGAGUAACCUGCCCUUGACUUUGGGAUAACUUCAGGAAACUGGGGCUAAUACCGGAUAGGAGCUCCUGCUGCAUGGUGGGGGUUGGAAAGUUUCGGCGGUUGGGGAUGGACUCGCGGCUUAUCAGCUUGUUGGUGGGGUAGUGGCUUACCAAGGCUUUGACGGGUAGCCGGCCUGAGAGGGUGACCGGCCACAUUGGGACUGAGAUACGGCCCAGACUCCUACGGGAGGCAGCAGUGGGGAAUAUUGCACAAUGGGCGGAAGCCUGAUGCAGCAACGCCGCGUGCGGGAUAACGGCCUUCGGGUUGUAAACCGCUUUCGCCUGUGACGAAGCGUGAGUGACGGUAAUGGGUAAAGAAGCACCGGCUAACUACGUG
rnacentral:rRNA from 1 species